UGGGGAAUUUUGGACAAUUGGGCGAAAGCCUGAUCCAGCAAUGCCGCGUGUGUGAAGAAGGCCUUCGGGUUGUAAAGCACUUUUUGUCCGGAAAGAAAUCCUUGGCUCUAAUACAGCCGGGGGAUGACGGUACCGGAAGAAUAAGCACCGGCUAACUACGUGCCAGCAGCCGCGGUAAUACGUAGGGUGCAAGCGUUAAUCGGAAUUACUGGGCGUAAAGCGUGCGCAGGCGGUUUGCUAAGACCGAUGUGAAAUCCCCGGGCUCAACCUGGGAACUGCAUUGGUGACUGGCAGGCUAGAGUAUGGCAGAGGGGGGUUAGAAUUCCACGUGUAGCAGUGAAAUGCGUAGAGAUGUGGAGGAAUACCGAUGGCGAAGGCAGCCCCCUGGCAAGUCACUGACGCUCAUGCACG
rnacentral:rRNA from 1 species